GGUCAAGUUAUUAAGGGUGCAGGGCGGAUGCCUUGGCACUAGGAGCCGAUGAAGGACGUGAUAAGCUGCGAUAAGCUUCGGGGAGUUGCACGUAAACUUUGAUCCGAAGAUUUCCGAAUGAGGAAACUCACUUAGAGUAAUGUCUAAGUAUCAUUAAGUGAAUACAUAGCUUAAUGAGGGGAACUCAGGGAACUGAAACAUCUAAGUACCUGAAGGAAGAGAAAGAAAUUCGAUUCCGUAAGUAGCGGCGAGCGAACGCGGAUUAGCCCAAACCAAUAAAGUUUUCUUUAUUGGGGUUGCGGACAUAUCAU
rnacentral:rRNA from 1 species